UACGAGUGCCUCGAGCGUUAUCCGGAAUUACUGGGCGUAAAGGGUGCGUAGGCGGUCAUAUUAGUCCGCGGUCAAAUAUUUCGGCUCAACCGAAAAACCGCCGCGGAAACGGUAUGACUUGAGGAUGCGAGAGGUGUGCGGAACUCUAGGUGUAGGGGUGAAAUCCGUUGAUAUCUAGGGGAACACCAAAAGAGAAGGCAGCACACUGGCACAUUCCUGACGUUGAAGCACGAAAGCGUGGGGAGCGAAUGGG
rnacentral:rRNA from 1 species